CACAAAGAUACCCAAUUAUAUUUGACAGUGAGACACCCUUACAGUUUAAUCCAACUGAAGUAUUUUUAGAGCAGAGUGUGACUGUGACAUGUGGCCCUCCACCAGAAGAUCUCAGUUUUGGUACCAGCUGGACUGCAGAAUGGAGACGUAACGGUGUGCUCAUCAAUGAAGAUACAGAACACAGCUUUUCAAUUCAGGAUGGAGCAGCAACAUUAACUGUGCCCAGAUUUUUUAUUACUGACAAUGGACUCUAUGAAUGUCAGCUGAAACGGGCAGAUAAUUCAAUUUUCCGACAAAGGUCCAAUGGAGUCUUCAGUCACAAAGAUGCACCACAGAUCCAAGUGAACCCGGUGAGACAAAAUGUGAAGUGUGGGACUGGAAAUGUG
ensembl:lncRNA